CACGCCAGGAAGCUGUUCGCAGUAUGGUGCAUCAUGCGGACGCAGAAGAACGUUCUUUCAGUGCUGGUAGCAGUUUUCCCUGCGCUAGUAUAUUCCAUUGUAGUAAGUUCUACAACAGAGAAAAUUUCGGAAAUUGAAGUCUCACAGGCAGCUUAUAAUAUAGUACACUUUUACAAUACCAAACAGCCAAUAAUCACAGCCUUUACCACCGGAGGGUCUGAUCAGUGCAAGGAUGAUAUUAUGACGAGUAUUACUGCGAAUGAUACUUACUUUCUAAGAGGUUUCAAAGGGAAAUGGGUACCUCCUACUCUUAUGCACGGCAUGUUUUGGGAGCAAACUGACGUCAAUUCCGAUGGAGUCUAUAAUGCGAUGAACGUAACAUCAACUAAUGAUACCCAGUUUCCAACAGCAAAAUGGGUUCCAUGGAACAGCACCGAGGUGUUACUUUUUGCAUCCAGCGACUAUAUCUGUGGUUUGUUUCGCGUCGAUCUGUUCACCAAUGAUUCAACAUUUUACGAUGUCCGAGUGUGGAACGAC